UCACCCAAAGUUUACCUAGCUGGCCUGGAGGGUUUCAGAUUGCUUCACUCACGUGACUGGAAGGCUGGGUCUAACUGAGAUGUGGACUAGAAUGUUCAGAUGUGCUCCCUCCAGCAUGAACAUCUUGGGCUAGCCAGACUCCUUACAUGGUGGUCCAGGGCUCCUGAAGAGACUGUGCCAAGAGAUGGAAAGGGAAGCUGCUAGGAUCUUCAGGCCUGAUCUAGAAACUGACACAACACCACUUCUACCACAGUCCAUUUGUCAAAGCAGACCUUGAACCUGCCCAGUUUCAAGGGGCUUCUGAUCUGAGAUCAGAUCAUAAGCAACCAGCCCUAGGAAGGUCCAACUGCAAAUGCAAAGGCCCUGAGCUCUGGCCUGAGACACGCGAGAAGAUGCUGGCUUCGCCGCUUCUCUUCAUCAGAAGAAACAUCUUCCCCCACGCACAGGCUCCAGGGUUCGGUUAUUAAAACAGCAAAACCCAAAUGCUUCCAAGAUAAACUCCUGAUAAUGCGAUAAUAGCAGCCACCCUGGAGAAUUCCAAUUGGUGCCUCUCACCAGGGGCAAUGUCAUCAGCAAGCAAGCAUC